rnacentral:rRNA from 1 species
AGCGAACGCUGGCGGCAGGCUUAACACAUGCAAGUCGAGCGGGCCCUUCGGGGUCAGCGGCAGACGGGUGAGUAACGCGUGGGAACGUGCCCUUCGGUUCGGAAUAACCCUGGGAAACUAGGGCUAAUACCGGAUACGCCCCUUGGGGGAAAGGUUUACUGCCGAAGGAUCGGCCCGCGUCUGAUUAGCUUGUUGGUGAGGUAACGGCUCACCAAGGCGACGAUCAGUAGCUGGUCUGAGAGGAUGAUCAGCCACACUGGGACUGAGACACGGCCCAGACUCCUACGGGAGGCAGCAGUGGGGAAUAUUGGACAAUGGGCGCAAGCCUGAUCCAGCCAUGCCGCGUGAGUGAUGACGGCCUUAGGGUUGUAAAGCUCUUUUGUCCGGGACGAUAAUGACGGUACCGGAAGAAUAAGCCCCGGCUAACUUCGUGCCAGCCGCCGCCGUAAUAC